GGGGCUGUAGCUCAGUUGGGAGAGCGCCUCGUUCGCAACGAGGAGGCCGUGGGUUCGACUCCCAUCAGCUCCACCA
rnacentral:tRNA from 1 species